AGAAGAAGAAGAGGAGAAGAAAGCGGACGAGGGACGACAUGGAGAUGAGAAAACAGUGAGAUGCCCAAACAAAAUUAGGGGAAAAAGCAUAGCAGAGGAAUUUGUGGCUGUCUUUGUGUGUAGUAGAAAAGGCAGAGGGUUCGGUCUCAGAUCUGUGCUUGUUCGUGGUAGGAGAAAAAGCAAAGCAUGCUCGUUGGAUUUCGAUCUCAGAUCUACCAAAUCAAAAAAUAAAGAGUGAUGCUUCCAGAUCAAAAUGACUAACAAAAUAAACAUAUUUCCUCCCGUCUACCUCUCGGCUGUGCUCGUGUACCUCGCUGCUGAGAUGCAACUUGGGCUGGAUGGCACACAGUCGGAGAGCCUAUAUCAUGAUUAGCACAUUCGAUUAUUCCCCUCCCUUACAGCAUUGGGCACACGGAAAUUUGUGGGCAAAUUUGUAACUUCUUAACGUACAGUGAAACUUUUGUAAUAGAAAUCAAUAAUUUAGGAGGUUCUGGCAAUGCCAGGCAAUGAGAUAGUGUAGUUAUUUGAGAUUGAAUGUAUUGGUGAUUUUUCCAUUUCCGUUCUAAUCAUAUUAUUGUAGAGUUAAAAGAUAA